CCCUACGGGGCUCCGCAGUUAGUAAUAUUUGUCAAUUUUCUUUCGCCUUAACCAGCCAAGUAGCGUGAAGGAUGAAGGUUCUAUGGAUUGUAAACUUCUUUUAUAAAGGAAUAAAGUGAGGCACGUGUGCCUUUUUGUAUGUACUUUAUGAAUAAGGAUCGGCUAACUCCGUGCCAGCAGCCGCGGUAAUACGGAGGAUCCGAGCGUUAUCCGGAUUUAUUGGGUUUAAAGGGAGCGUAGAUGGGUUGUUAAGUCAGUUGUGAAAGUUUGCGGCUCAACCGUAAAAUUGCAAUUGAUACUGGCGU
rnacentral:rRNA from 1 species